AGCUAUUGUUGUAUGCAAAUUCUGAUAGUGAAAGGUAUCUGUCCCAGCUUCCCUCAAACACAAUAACACAACUUCUUAGCAUAUCCUAGAGGACUUAUCACAUAUGUUCGGUUAUUAUUAUCAUUAUCAGUUCAAUUUAUUGUUUGCAAUAACUCAAUGAGUUUCAGAAUUUACCUGGAUUAUUCUUUCUGACUAUCCAUCCGUCUGAGGAUGAAAAGUCAUACUAAAAUGGAGUUGUGUGCCCAAGGAUUCUUGUAAUUUCUUCCAAAAUCUAGAUGUAAACCUCGGGUCUCUAUCAAAUAUAAUGGAAAGAGGAAUUCCAUGUAGUCUAAUUAUUUCUGUAACACCCUGAACCUUCG
rnacentral:misc_RNA from 1 species